rnacentral:snRNA from 1 species
AUCAUACCAGCACUAAUGCA